rnacentral:rRNA from 1 species
UGGAGGGCAAGUCUGGUGCCAGCAGCCGCGGUAAUUCCAGCUCCAAUAGCUUAUAUUAAAGUUGUUGCAGUUAAAAAGCUCGUAGUUGAAUUUCGGGAUUUGUCAGUUGGUCGGGCUUAACUGUCCGUAUUGACUCGAUGGAUUCUUACCUUCUGAAUAACCAGCAUGCUAUUAAUUUAGUGCGUUGGGGAAGCAGAUCUAUUACCUUGAAAAAAUUAGAGUGCUUAAAGCGAGCUAGUGCUUGAAUAGAUUAGCAUGGAAUAAUAAAAUAGGACGGCAUGGUUCUAUUUUGUUGGUUUCUAGGACCACCGUAAUGAUUAAUAGGGAUGUUGGGGGCAUUAGUAUUCAAUUGUCAGAGGUGAAAUUCUUGGAUUUAUUGAAGACUAACUUCUGCGAAAGCAUUUGCCAAGGAUGUUUUCAUUAAUCAAGAACGAAAGUUAGGGGAUCGAAGACGAUCAGAUACCGUCGUAGUCUUAACCAUAAACUAUGCCGACUAGGAAUCGGACGAUGUUAAUUUUAUAAUGACUCGUUCGGCACCUUACGGGAAAC